rnacentral:lncRNA from 1 species
UUCAAAAAAAAAAGAAAUAAUUUGCCUAAAUUCAGAAAUUUACAAGGACUGUUUCAAAAUGUGAACAGAAAAGGAGAUUGACAGAUGAGAAGGAGAAAUUAGAAGAUUCUAGGUAUGGAAAUCAUAUUUAAUAGAAGAGAAAAAAGUGUUCCUGGAUAAGAAAUUCUUUAUGUGAUGAAGUAAAUAAAAGAGUUUAAGUAAGUGAUAAAGAAGGUCUGCGUAAGUUUGUUUUUACAAUCAGUCAUAUGUUAAAAGGACAAAGAUUUCUUAAAACAUUAGUUUACUCAUAACAUUGUGUUUAUUAAGUUUUGUUUCUUGUUUCUAGAGCAAGUAAUCUUAAAUAAAUUAAACUGCUGGUUAAACAAGAACUGUUAUUUUAGAGCACUGUGCUAUGUUAUUUCUUUAAAAACUAAACUUGGUUAAUAUAAAAACAUCAAUGUAUUUGUGAUGCUAUUCAAUGUGUUCAUAUCUUCCAGGUAUACAAGACUGUAAGGUAGAAGCUUUAAAAGAACAUUAUAUCAAGCUGGUGUUCUAAAGUUGUAUGGUAAUUUUAGGCUUAAAAGAAAAACAUAUUGGAGAUUUAUUUAUAUCAUUUGAUGUUCUAUAACUGGGCCUGUUAUCAAUAAGAUAUGUAAAGUUUUAUGUUACUUUUUACACUGGGGUACAAUUUAAAUGUAUUUUUAAGUUAAUGAGAUCCUAAUCUAUGUAAAGGUUAAUAUUGUAAACACAAAAGUACUUUGCUACUUUUCCACAAAAGGUUAAAAGCUUUCAGCCUUUCUUUAAUUCAUGUUUUAGAUGUGAUAUCAUAUUAUGUUAGUUAGUAUUUAUGUGAAUUGAGCAACAGUUUAUGUAAGCUUUGUAAAAUGAUGUUUAAAAAGCACAGAUCAGCUUCAGAACUAGAGCACUUUACUUAAGAUUUAUGAAGAGCCCUGCCUUACCUGAGAUAAGACUCUGUGUCUCAUCUUACUACAUGUGAGAAUGACUCCACAGUAGGCCAGAUUUCAGUACAUUUAAAGUUGUGUUCAAAAGUAAUCUUUUUGUCAAGAUUACUAGGAUCUCAAACAGGGGAUAUAAUGUAUAACUCAGCCAAAGUUCAAGGUAGCUAUUACACGAACUAAAUAUGUUUUUACUCUUGUUAAUUUUAUUUUGUAGUUUUCUUAUAAAUGGUCUAAAGAUUGCCUGAUAAUAUUUUGCAGAGGUACUGCUUUAAGAACACACAGCCUGG